AUGGUGCAUGGAGCUGAGUCCUUGUGAAGGAUCUUUGUAUGUUUUCUUGGGAUGCAGAAACAGAGACUGGGAGUAGCCCCCAUUCCUUCCAUCCUUUUUGUCUCUAUGUUCCCCCUUGUUUCAGAGAAUCAGGACUACCUGAGGGUCACUAAAGCCUUCUUGUUUAGAGCUCUUACAACCCACAAGACUCCUUUUGCCAUUUCUUCCCUUCUCCCGGGCCCUUCUUCCACUUUAAAUUCCCUGCCUGCCAGGAGAUACCUCAUGUUUUUCAGCAAGGCUUUGCUUUGGGCUAGCACUGACAGCAAGCCUGUGAUAUUCAAAACCUCCCAAGGGGCCUGGAUGUUAUUUCGUGGGGAGUCUCUAUUACUCAGGAUCUAUAACAGCCCAGCCCAAGACCUACAUAUUUUAUUAUUAUUAUUAUUAUUUAUUUAUUUAUAGGAAAUGAAACGAUUUUCUGGUGCUGUGUGAAGCUCAGGCAGGUGGGGAAAUGGGGCUGGGACUUGCUUGCCAUGCAGGGUGCGUGUAACCCUGCAACCCUGGUGUCCACGUGGCAAACCAGUAGCCAUCCCCUCGAGGCUGAAGCUGAACAAGCAUUCAGCAACUUUAGUGAGUAUUCGAAACUCUUGGACCAGCUGAAUUAAUGUGGUAUUUCAACCUUCCCUCCCCCCUCAAGCUCAUGCAUGCGGUUUCUGGUACUCGUUGUGCCCUGUGCUGAUGGAACACAGCAAGCAGGCAAAGCAUCACGCCGUGACAAGGUCACAGAAAGCCAAGGUGAGCCCCACGCUUUUACAUAAGUGAAAUUCAAAUUUAGUUUAAAAAAUAAAAAUAAAAAAGGGCCAGGGUUGGAGAAUACUUCUGUUCUUUUUCUCUGUCUUGUUUGUCUCACUAUACUCAUUAUUCUGCUUUCCUACAUGACAUCUGUAGGAGUCCAGCUCCUAUCCCAGGGGCACAGCAAAUCUUUCCUGGCAUGAUACAGAAACACUGUUGGAGGACUCUUUAAGCCAGAUGGAAUUGGUUCAGUUUGAAAUAAGUCUGAGGAAUAACGCUGUUCGGUUAGCAUUAAAAACAAAAACGAAACAAAACCCAAAACUUUUGUCCUUUGCUAUCAAUAGCUCUGUCCCUUUCUCAAAUACCACUGCAGGAUUUCCAUGCUGUAUGCAAGGCUCUCCCUUACACAUGGGGAAAAUUAAAUUCUUCUAGUAAGAAGUGUAUUUUAUUCCACUUGUGUCCUCAGACUUACUCUAAGAAUGAAUGUCGUGAACAGUGUAUGCUGUGGGGUUCAAGGGGUCAGUCUGAAAUGCCACACAGGUGCAGGUAAUUGGGUCCAGGGUUAAAGGAGUGUCCGCCCCUGAUGCUCACUCCUUCCUGAGCUCCCUUCGUGUCCCACCGGGGCUAGAAUUAGAAGGGUUCCUUGCUUAGCUGAAGAACAUGCAGCCCAUGGCUACAGCGUUCCAGCUAAAGUUUUACCCAAACCAGUGGCAUAGUGCAAAACAACUGAUCAGUGGUUUGCAUCACAUCAGAGCUGUGAACCCAAGUGGCCAAAACUUGCUCACACAGCUUGUUUUGCUGCUUUUCCUGGGAGAAAAAUAAUUUUCGAUAGGGUGGCAGCUGGGGGAGGGAAUACCUCGAAGCCUUGCAUCUACAUCACUCAGCCUUCGGCUUUAAUCAAGUCCUCCAAGGGGCUGAGACGAAAGUUAAAACAGCUGGAGCCACAGUUCCGGUGGUAUUCCUGAAGGUAAUUAAGCUCUCAUUUGCAGGAUUUGAAAAGUGCCUAACUAUAUCCUCUGAUAAUUUCAAAAAUUUGGCCACGGUGUCCAUUGCAGAUGAAGGAAAACCUUUUUUUUUUUUUUUUUUUCUUUUUUUGCCCCAAACCUAGCUGGUCCUAAAAUGAGAACAACCCCCAUGACAAGUUUGCAUUUGAGGGGAAAAAAAAGAAAUGCAUAAUUCAAUUAUUGCAGGAAAAUACAGUCCUUGGCAUCACUUUCUUCUGGGAAACAGCACCUGAAAGGCCCCAGAGAUGCUUUUGUGCAGAAAGAUGCUGCCAUAGCGAUGAACAAUGGCUUGUAGGGAAACAAGUCUGAGAGACAAGGCUUCAAAUUACCCUGCAUCUUAGUGCGAAGGAAAACAAAAAGUAGCCUCAGGUAUUUCUGAAAAGAAAAAAAAAAAAAAAAGGAAAUAUAGCGAUAGGGAAGGUGGGAGUUGGAGAUGAGGGCUAUGAAAUGCACUUAUUUCAAUCUUGUGAAGUACCAUAGCAUAUCAAAACACUUCAUUGAAAAUCAGGAGAGAUGGAUUUUGACACAAAUGUGUCUUCUGAAUCAUCCAGAUGCACUUCUCCCUGCCGACAUUAUUCAUAGGUGAACUUUGAGAAGUGCUGGCCUCAUCAAAAUGGAAAACCAGAUCACUCCUUCCCAGCUCCAGACAAGCUGAGCUCUGAAGCAAAAUAUAUGCUUAGAUGCAGGAAUAUGAACUUUGAUGAACUUAUAGGACUGGAUGGACCUCCAGAGACCAGCUACUGAUUUAUUUGUAUUUUUUUUCUAAGAGUCUGUGUGGCUUUACAAGGAAAAUGUAAUUUUGUGUUACUGAAAUAUAAUAAAUCUCUUUGUAUUUCACGCAGGCCCUGGCUUUACCAGCUACUAUUGCAGAAAUAACUAGAGUGCUUGUAGCUGAGAAUUUAAAUGGAAGAUGAGUUGUAACCAUUCAGCAAACUCAGCUUUUCUUUCAUGCAGCGUAUGAGAUAUAGCUAGAACAGAGGCAGAGCUCUCUUCUAAUCUCACCAGGAGUCACGUUUUAACCUGUAAAACCAAGUUAUUCCCAACACACUAACUGUGCAGUUUCUGGUGGUGUCAGGCCAGGCUUUCAGCUUCUUAAUUUUCUCCUUCUGUUUUCCAAAUGGGAAUCUUCUGUGGAGCUACAACCGAAUGUGACCUACACCAAAAGUGAUCAAAAUGCUGCUGUGCUGCUCCAGUGGCGGAGAGGAUUGAGGGAGGGAACUGAGGAGAUGGAGAUCGAAUCAUCAGGAGCUUCAACACCAUCUAAAGCUACCCUGGCCUAAGGGGACAGCCACCUAGAUGAAAGAAAACACAGAUGAACACAGUGAUUGUUCCAAGCGAGCUGCAAGGAAUAGAUAUCAGCCAAGUGUCUAAGAUGAGGAACUCAACAGUUCCAUUUCCAGUCCGAGAGAGGAAUGAGAAAGGACUGGGCAGCCUCGCCAUACAAGCAAUCCAGCUGCACCAGAGCCACAGCAAGACUUGCAAGGCGUUGUUUUGAAGUGCUGCUGGCUCUUCCUACAGUUCAUCACGGAUCUUGUUAGGAAAUGAAGGAGAGGAAACUGGGCAACCGCGCUGCUGGGCCACGAGGAAACACACAAUGAGCAUAAUGAAGCCAGCAGCUGCAGGACAAUGGGAGCAGGCUGGGGCUAUUUUUGUUAGAUGGGAACAAUCAAUCGAACGUGUUUCUUUUGGAAGUCUUUGAUGGCUUCCUCUGAGUGCGGCUAUAUUGUCUUGCUGUGACAGAGUGAUUUGCAGCUGGGUCACGCUCGGCAUCAGGAAACCUGGAACAGUGUUCACCAGCAUUUAUGAGUAGGUCACGGCUGCUUUGGGGAGGCAAAACCUGGCAGAGUUUCUGCAUCGCUGUGUUACGCUAGAGCUUGGCCACCAGACCAGAUCUCGGAGUGAACUGUUUUGGACUGGAUUCCAUGGCAGCGAACAACCAGG